ACAGAGGGUGCAAGCGUUAAUCGGCAUUACUGGGCGUAAAGCGCACGCAGGCGGUUUGUUAAGUCAGAUGUGAAAUCCCCGGGCUCAACCUGGGAACUGCAUUUGAAACUGGCAAGCUAGAGUCUCGUAGAGGGGGGUAGAAUUCCAGGGGUAGCGGUGAAAAGCGUAGAGAUCUGGAGGAAUACCGGUGGCGAAGGCGGCCCCCUGGACGAAGACUGACGCUCAGUUGCGAAAGCGUGUGUAGCAAACAG
rnacentral:rRNA from 1 species